GACGAACGCUGGCGGCGUGCUUAACACAUGCAAGUCGAACGGUAAGGCCCUUCGGGGUACACGAGUGGCGAACGGGUGAGUAACACGUGGGUGAUCUGCCCUGCACUCCGGGAUAAGCCUGGGAAACUGGGUCUAAUACCGGAUAGGACCCUGGGAUGCAUGUCCUGGGGUGGAAAGCUUUUGCGGGGUGGGAUGGGCCCGCGGCCUAUCAGCUUGUUGGUGGGGUGAUGGCCUACCAAGGCGACGACGGGUAGCCGGCCUGAGAGGGUGACGGGCCGCGCUGGGACGGGGAUACGCGCCAGACGCAGACGGGAGGCAGCAGUGGGGAAGAUUGCACAAUGGGCGGAAGCCUGAUGCAGCGACGCCGCGUGAGGGAUGACGGACUGCGGGUUGUACACCUCUUUCAGCGCCGACGAAGCGAAAGUGACGGUAGGUGCAGAAGAAGGACCGGCCAACUACGUGCCAGCCGCCGCCGUAA
rnacentral:rRNA from 1 species